ACGCACGCUGGCGGCGUGCUUCACCCCUGCCAGUCGAACGCUGAAGCUCAGCUUUUGUUGGGUGGAUGAGUGGCGAACGGGUGAGUAACACGUGAGUAACCUGCCCCCUUCUUUGGGAUAACGCCCGGAAACGGGUGCUAAUACUGGAUAUUCACUGGUCUUCGCAUGGGGGUUGGUGGAAAGGGUUUUUCUGGUGGGGGAUGGGCUCGCGGCCUAUCAGCUUGUUGGUGGGGUGAUGGCCUACCAAGGCUUUGACGGGUAGCCGGCCUGAGAGGGUGACCGGUCACAUUGGGACUGAGAUACGGCCCAGACUCCUACGGGAGGCAGCAGUGGGGAAUAUUGCACAAUGGGCGCAAGCCUGAUGCAGCGACGCCGCGUGAGGGAUGGAGGCCUUCGGGUUGUGAACCUCUUUCGCUCAUGGUCAAGCCGCAACAAUGGUUGUGGUGAGGGUAGUGGGUAAAGAAGCGCCGGCUAACUACGUG
rnacentral:rRNA from 1 species